ensembl:snoRNA Snord71 small nucleolar RNA, C/D box 71
UGUGUGCUGGAGGAUGAAAAUAAGGAGUGAUCCAUCGGCUAAGUGUCUCAACACAAUGCUGAAGCUCAAAUUACUGACAGCACACA